CAAACAUAUUAUUCACCUGAGUACACAACACCAGCACAGAAAAAAAAAUUCAUAUUACAAGAACACAUUGGUAUUGAAGGAACUAGAUACUGUUCCGAAAUAUCACUUACUCGAACCGUCCUGACCGCGCAGCUCAGUUGGAAGAGCAUUGGGCUAGUAUUCCAAAGGUCGUAGGUUCGAAUCCCACCGUGGCCGGGCAUAUUUUUCAAGCUCGCCUGGUGUGGAUAUGCACUCAGAGUAACAUCACAAACAUAUUAUUCACCUGAGUACACAACACCAGCACAGAAAAAAUUCAUAUUACAAGAACACAUUGGUAUUGAAGGAACUAGAUACUGUUCCGAAAUAUCACUUACUCGAACCGUCCUGACCGCGUAGCUCAGUUGGAAGAGCAUUGGGCUGGUAUUCCAAAGGUCGUAGGUUCGAAUCCCGCCGUGGCCAGGCAUAUUUUUCAA